GGCCGGGGGAAUUCGAUUCAGGCCUAACACAUGCAAGUCGAGCGGUAGAGAGAAGCUUGCUUCUCUUGAGAACGGCGGACGGGUGAGUAAUGCCUAGGAAUCUGCCUGGUAGUGGGGGAUAACGUUCGGAAACGGACGCUAAUACCGCAUACGUCCUACGGGAGAAAGCAGGGGACCUUCGGGCCUUGCGCUAUCAGAUGAGCCUAGGUCGGAUUAGCUAGUUGGUGAGGUAAUGGCUCACCAAGGCGACGAUCCGUAACUGGUCUGAGAGGAUGAUCAGUCACACUGGAACUGAGACACGGUCCAGACUCCUACGGGAGGCAGCAGUGGGGAAUAUUGGACAAUGGGCGAAAGCC
rnacentral:rRNA from 1 species